rnacentral:rRNA from 1 species
UAACACGUAUCCAACCUACCGGUUAUUCUGGGAUAGCCUUUCGAAAGAAAGAUUAAUACCGGAUAGUAUAACGAGAAGGCAUCUUCUUGUUAUUAAAGAAUUUCGAUAACCGAUGGGGAUGCGUUCCAUUAGUUUGUUGGCGGGGUAACGGCCCACCAAGACAUCGAUGGAUAGGGGUUCUGAGAGGAAGGUCCCCCACAUUGGAACUGAGACACGGUCCAAACUCCUACGGGAGGCAGCAGUGAGGAAUAUUGGUCAAUGGACGAGAGUCUGAACCAGCCAAGUAGCGUGAAGGAUGACUGCCCUAUGGGUUGAAACUUCUUUUA